rnacentral:rRNA from 1 species
UACGUAGGCAGCAAGCGUUGUUCGGAAUUACUGGGCGUAAAGCGCGCGUAGGCGGACCUGCAAGUCGGGGGUGAAAGCCCGAGGCUCAACCUCGGAACUGCCUUCGAUACUGCAGGGCUAGAGUCCGGAAGAGGCGAGUGGAAUUCCUGGUGUAGCGGUGAAAUGCGCAGAUAUCAGGAGGAACACCGAUGGCGAAGGCAGCUCGCUGGACGGUGACUGACGCUGGAGGCGCGGAAAGCGUGGGGAGCAAACAGG